GCCCGGGUGGUGGAAUUGGUAGACACGCAGGACUUAAAAUCCUGUGGACAGCGAUGUCCGUGCGGGUUCAAUUCCCGCCCCGGGUA
rnacentral:tRNA from 2 species